GAUGUUAGUGAACACCGCAACGAGUUACUUCCCUUGAAUAUUUUAUUUUGGAAAAACUAAAGCGAAGUUUUGAUGUUGGCUCCUUCAGCUCAGUAAUGAGAAUGCUAAUCUGAUUGUGUCAACCCAUCAAGAAAGAAGAUAAAGGCUCCCUGGAACAUGGAUCAGGAAACAGCACAAUUGUUGUUUAAAGAAGGGGCUAUUUUCAUCCUUCUUGAUGUUCCCCUGGGCACAGAGUUUGGCAUUGAUUAUAACUGUUGGGAUGUUGGACCCAAAUUUAAGGGUGUCAAAAUGAUCCCACCUGGAGUUCAUUUCAUAUAUUACAGUGCCAAAAACAAAGAAGGACAAGUGGCGCCACGUACUGGUUUCUUUCACGAAUUCAAACAGCGGGAAAUUAUCUUAAGAAAAUGGGACCCUCUCAAUGAAGACAUUAAAGCUGAAGAAGCCAACCCAGAUGUUAUGGAAAGUUAUGAAAUAAACAAGCAAGAGUUAGACCAAUAUUUAGCUCCUUAUCCAUAUGACAACUACAAGAAAUGGGUGUCCCUCACAAACCACAUCACUAGCGAUUUACUUACCUCACUGCAUGCAGAGGGAAUGAAAAUAUCAUCUGUAACAGCCCUCAAAUCAGAGAAAAGUGAUUCUCUCUCAAGAGCCGCAGAUCGGCUGAAAAGCUCGGAGCCGGUUCGGGAUGUAAGUCAGGAAUGUCAGUCAAUAAAGGAAGCAGAAUCUCAUCUGUCCAAACUGCAGUUUGCUCCAGACUCCAGUGUUCAAUACCAUGCUAUUCCUAGGAAAUACCCAGCUGGAGCAAGCCCUGCUGAUGUCACCAAAUACAGCUUAGAUUCCAGUUAUGCCCUUAGCACAAUGAUCGAAUCCUGCUACAACAACAAAGAAUUGUUGUUGUUGGGGGAGCUGCAGAUAUCAUUUGUGUGUUUUAUCAUAGGACAAGUUUACGAUGGUUUUGAGCAAUGGAAGAAGCUGGUCAGUGUUCUGUCAACGGCACAGAGAGCGGUCGUCACUUACCAAAACCUUUACAUGCAAUGCAUUAAAGUUCUCUAUUUCCAACUGAAGGAAAUACCUGAAGAUUUCUUUGUGGACAUUUUGUCCCAACAAAAUUUCCUUACCGACACACUUUAUGAGUUUUUCUUGAACAUCAACAACGAGGAGGUCAGUGAUGAACUGAGGAAAAGAGGGGCAAAGUUUAAAGCAAAUUUAACGGAAACUUUCAAAUGGGAUUUUAGCAGAGAACCUGAUGAAUAUGCCCCGGUUGUUGUUGAAACUGAGAUUACAUAGUGUGGGGCAACCAGAUGAGUAUGGCCCUGUUGUGGUUGAAAGCGAGAGCACAAACUUAAGGUAACAAACCAUUCAGUCAGAUACCACAAAGUCCAGUGUAAUGGACAUCAGAACAAUGGUUGUCCAUCAACCUGUUUCUUCAUACAUCAACAUGUUCUCAUGACAUUAAAUUUCUCCAACAUUUC